rnacentral:tRNA from 1 species
GCCUGAGCGGCUUAGUCAGUUAAGCAACUGACUUAGGCUCAGGUCAUGAUCUCACGGUUUGUGAGUUCAAGUCCCAUGUCAGGCU